CGACCAUGGUGAAUCAGUGAUACUAACCAUCCAUAAGCACCCGCGAAAAGGUUUUGCUUUUUUGUGGUGUGUGGUUGCGUGGGACCUGAUCUGGUAGUAGCUAAGUGAU
rnacentral:rRNA from 1 species